UACGGAGGGUGCAAGCGUUAUCCGGAUUCACUGGGUUUAAAGGGUGCGUAGGAGGGCAGGGAAGUCAGUGGUGAAAUCUCCGGGCUUAACUCGGAAACUGCCGUUGAUACUCUCUGUCUUGAAUACCGUGGAGGUGAGCGGAAUAUGUCAUGUAGCGGUGAAAUGCUUAGAUAUGACAUAGAACACCAAUUGCGAAGGCAGCUCACUACGGGAUUAUUGACACUGAGGCACGAAAGCGUGGGGAUCAAACAGG
rnacentral:rRNA from 1 species